GACGAACGCUGGCGGCGUGCUUAACACAUGCCAGUCGAACGGAAAGGCCCUGCUUUUGUGGGGUGCUCGAGUGGCGAACGGGUGAGUAACACGUGAGUAACCUGCCCUUGACUUUGGGAUAACUUCAGGAAACUGGGGCUAAUACCGGAUAGGAGCUCCUGCUGCAUGGUGGGGGUUGGAAAGUUUCGGCGGUUGGGGAUGGACUCGCGGCUUAUCAGCUUGUUGGUUGGGUAGUGGCUUACCAAGGCUUUGACGGGUAGCCGGCCUGGGAGGGUGACCGGCGACAAUGGGACUGAGAGACGGACCAGACUGCUACGGGAGGCAGCAGUGGGGAAUAUUGCACAGUGGGAGGGAGCCUGAUGAAGAAACGUCGCGUGCGGGAUGACGGUCUUCGGGUUGUAAAAAGCUGUCGCCUGUGACGAAGCGUGAGUGACGGUAAUGGGUAAAGAAGCACCGGCUAACUACGUG
rnacentral:rRNA from 1 species